rnacentral:lncRNA from 1 species
GAUAGCAAAUUAUGAUUAAAAAAAAUUUUAAUUGAUAAUAGAUACUCGGCUAAUGUGUUGUUUUAUGAUACCUAUUAAGGAAUGAGAUUGUCUGUUGACCAACUAAGGAAGGUCGAUACUCCCCUAGUUGGAUUCUUCGGGGACUUCAUGGGUGUAAAAAGAGAGAUAACAUUACCAGUAACCAUCAAACAGGAGCCUCAAA